rnacentral:rRNA from 1 species
UGGCUCACGAUGAACGCUAGCGGCAGGCUUAACACAUGCAAGUCGAGGGGCAGCGGGGAGGAAGCUUGCUUUCUCCGCCGGCGACCGGCGCACGGGUGAGUAACACGUAUGCAACCUGCCCCUGUCAGGGGGACAACCCGCCGAAAGGCGGGCUAAACCCGCGUACAUGCCACCGGGGCAUCCCGGAGGCAGGAAAGGCUUCGGCCGGACAGGGAUGGGCAUGCGGCGCAUUAGGCAGUAGGCGGGGCAACGGCCCACCUAACCGACGAUGCGUAGGGGUUCUGAGAGGAAGGUCCCCCACACUGGUACUGAGACACGGACCAGACUCCUACGGGAGGCAGCAGUGAGGAAUACUGGUCAAUGGUCGGGAGACUGAACCAGCCAAGCCGCGUGAGGGAUGAAGGUACAGAGUAUCGUAAACCUCUUUUGUCAGGGAACAAAGGCGGGGACGUGUCCCCGGAAGAGUGUACCUGAAGAAAAAGCAUCGGCUAACUCCGUGCCAGCAGCCGCGGUAAUACGGAGGAUGCGAGCGUUAUCCGGAUUUAUUGGGUUUAAAGGGUGCGCAGGCGGUCUGCUAAGUCAGCGGUCAAAGCCCGGGGCUCAACCCCGGCCCGCCGUUGAAACUGGCAGUCUCGAGUUGGAGAGAAGUAUGCGGAAUGCGCGGUGUAGCGGUGAAAUGCAUAGAUAUCGCGCAGAACUCCGAUUGCGAAGGCAGCAUGCCGGCUCCACACUGACGUUGAGGCACGAAAGCGUGGGUAUCGAACAGGAUUAGAUACCCUGGUAGUCCACGCAGUAAACGAUGAAUGCUGGCUGUCCGGGGGGGAUUGACCCCUGGGUGGCGAAGCGAAAGCGAUAAGCAUUCCACCUGGGGAGUACGCCGGCAACGGUGAAACUCAAAGGAAUUGACGGGGGCCCGCACAAGCGGAGGAACAUGUGGUUUAAUUCGAUGAUACGCGAGGAACCUUACCCGGGCUCAAACGGGGAGUGACUCAGGCAGAGACGCCUGUUUCCCACGGGACACUCCCCGAGGUGCUGCAUGGUUGUCGUCAGCUCGUGCCGUGAGGUGUCGGCUUAAGUGCCAUAACGAGCGCAACCCCCGCGUGCAGUUGCUAACAGAUAACGCUGAGGACUCUGCACGGACUGCCGGCGCAAGCCGCGAGGAAGGCGGGGAUGACGUCAAAUCAGCACGGCCCUUACGUCCGGGGCGACACACGUGUUACAAUGGGUGGUACAGCGGGAAGCCAGGCGGCGACGCCGAGCGGAACCCGAAAUCCACUCUCAGUUCGGAUCGGAGUCUGCAACCCGACUCCGUGAAGCUGGAUUCGCUAGUAAUCGCGCAUCAGCCAUGGCGCGGUGAAUACGUUCCCGGGCCUUGUACACACCGCCCGUCAAGCCAUGGGAGCCGAGGGCGCUUGAAGUGCGUCGCCGCGAGGCGCGCCCUAGAGCGAAAUCGGUGACUGGGGCUAAGUCGUAACAAGG